rnacentral:rRNA from 1 species
UACGAAGGGUGCAAGCGUUACUCGGAAUUACUGGGCGUAAAGCGUGCGCAGGCGGUUGGUUAAGUCUGAUGUGAAAGCCCCGGGCUCAACCUGGGAAUGGCAUUGGAAACUGGCUGGCUAGAGUGUGGCAGAGGGGGGUGGAAUUCCGCGUGUAGCAGUGAAAUGCGUAGAUAUCUGGAGGAAUACCGGUGGCGAAGGCGGCAUCCUGGACCGAGAUUGACGCUGAUGAGCGAAAGCUAGGGGAGCAAACGGG